rnacentral:rRNA from 1 species
GACGAACGCUGGCGGCGUGCCUAAUACAUGCAAGUCGACCUUAGUGGCGAACGGGUGAGUAACACGUGGGUAACCUGCCCAUCAGAAGGGGAGAACACUUGGAAACAGGUGCUAAUACCGUAUACUGAUGUAUGGACCAGCGGGGGAUUAGCUAGUUGGUGAGGGAACGGCUCACCAAGGCCACGAUGGAUAGACGACCUGAGAGGGAGUUCAGCCACAUUGGGACUGCGACACGGCCCAAACUCCUACGGGAGGCAGCAUUAGGGAAUCUUCGGCAAUGGACGAAAGUCUGACCGAGCAACGCCGCGUGAGUGAAGAAGGUUUUCGGAUCGUAAAACUCUGUUGUUAGAGAAGCGGUAUCUAACCAGAAAGCCACGGCUAACUACGUGCCAGCCGCCGCGGUAAUUC